rnacentral:rRNA from 1 species
GAUGAACGCUGGCGGCGUGCCUAAUACAUGCAAGUAGAACGCUGAAGGAAGGAGCUUGCUCUUUCCGGAUGAGUUGCGAACGGGUGAGUAACGCGUAGGUAACCUACCUGGUAGCGGGGGAUAACUAUUGGAAACGAUAGCUAAUACCGCAUAACAGUAGAUGUUGCAUGAUAUCUACUUAAAAGGUGCAAUUGCACCACUACCAGAUGGACCUGCGUUGUAUUAGCUAGUUGGUGAGGUAACGGCUCACCAAGGCGACGAUACAUAGCCGACCUGAGAGGGUGAUCGGCCACACUGGGACUGAGACACGGCCCAGACUCCUACGGGAGGCAGCAGUAGGGAAUCUUCGGAAAUGGACGGAAGUCGGACCGAGCAACGCCGCGGGAGUGAAGAAGGUUUUCGGAUCGUAAAGCUCUGUUGUAAGAGAAGAACGAGUGUGAGAGUGGAAAGUUCACACUGUGACGGUAUCUUACCAGAAAGGGACGGCUAACUACGUG